rnacentral:lncRNA from 1 species
CCUUGUAGGUCCUGGUCUUCUGGUUGUGUUAUGUAUUUACAUCCACAAUACCUUCUAUUCAGUUUUCUUUUGUAGCCAUCAAUCAUGACUAGUUUGAUUUGGCAAUGAAAAUAUGUGGAGCUGUCAGUUUGUUGCAACAUAUAUGGUGCCAUCCAGGUAAAUAUAUGUUUUGUUUUUUUAGAAACACAAUACUGGCAGAGGCUCACACAUACACACAAUUCACCACACGCCCGCACAGAUUCAUGCCUAUGAAUACCUAUAUGUUUGUUCUAUGUGCAAUGCAGCAGUCACUCAGUUAGCAAAUGAAUUAUGCUCCUGCUAUUUCUGGAGCUUUCCUUGGUGAAGCAAAAUGGUGAAACCAUAGUUUUUCCAUAAUGUGUUCUUGUAGUAGUCUUCAGUGUUCAUUAUCUUCCCAUUAAUCAGUAAUGUAGCAUUCUAAGCUUGUCACUGAAUCGUUGUUAUUUUGACUGGAGGCGAUUUUCACAGCUGAAAGAUGCAACCGCUCGAUAUACCAUAUACAUAAAGUUUGAACUUAGCACAUCAUUACAACAGACUUUCAGUGAACUUGGUGUACAUGUCUAUACAUAUCCAAAAUUUAUCUGAGCACCAUGUGCAUCAAUUCUUGCUGUUUAGUGUUAUUAAUAUGCUGUGUUUAUCAGAUCUGAAAAUGAACAAGAUCUGAUACCUUUGUUGGAUGAUAAUGUGAACAUAAUUAUGCUCUAGCGGUUGUAAAAUUAG